rnacentral:rasiRNA from 1 species
CGAGAUGUUCAACUACACGGAUUCGCC